rnacentral:rRNA from 1 species
CGGUUAGCUGAGGGCAUUACCGAGUUUACAACUCCCAAACCCCUAUGUGAACGUUACCAAACUGUUGCCUCGGCGGGAUUUCUGCCCCGGGCGCGUCGCAGCCCCGGACCAAGGCGCCCGCCGGAGGACCAAUUUACAAACUGGUACUUGUAUAUCCCAUCGCGGAUUCUUUACAUUCUGAGCUUUCUCGGCGCUCCUAGCGAGCGUUUCGAAAAUGAAUCAAAACUUUCAACAACGGAUCUCUUGGUUCUGGCAUCGAAGAACGCAGCGAAAUGCGAUAAGUAAUGUGAAUUGCAGAAUUCAUUAGCUGUGAAUCAUCGAAUCUUUGAACGCACAUUGCGCCCGCCAGUAUUGGCGGGCAUGCCUGUCCGAGCGUCAUUUCAACCCUCGAACCCCUCCGGGGGGUCGGCGUUGGGGAUCGGCACUUACCUGCCGGCCCCGAAAUACAGUGGCGGGCCGCAGCAUAUGCAUGCUCUCCUGCGCAGUAGUUUGCACACUCGCACCGGGAGCGCGGCGCGUCCACGGCCGUAAAACAACCCAAACUAAUGUUGACCUCGGAUCAGGUAGGAAUACCGAACUUAAUUACUACGU